rnacentral:rRNA from 2 species
UGGGGAAUAUUGCUCAAUGGAGGGAACUCUGAUGCAGCGACGCCGCGUGAACGAAGAAGGCUUUCGAGUCGUAAAGUUCUUUUAUAUGGGAAGAUAAUGACGGUACCAUAAGAAAAAGCCCCGGCUAACUACGUGCCAGCAGCCGCGGUAAUACGUAGGGGGCUAGCGUUGUCCGGAAUCACUGGGCGUAAAGGGUUCGCAGGCGGAAAUGCAAGUCAGGUGUAAAAGGCAGUAGCUUAACUACUGUAAGCAUUUGAAACUGCAUAUCUUGAGAAGAGUAGAGGUAAGUGGAAUUUUUAGUGUAGCGGUGAAAUGCGUAGAUAUUAAAAAGAAUACCGGUGGCGAAGGCGACUUACUGGGCUCAUUCUGACGCUGAGGAACGAAAGCGUGGGUAGCAAACAGG